rnacentral:rRNA from 1 species
GACGAACGCUGGCGGCGUGCCUAAUACAUGCAAGUAGAACGCACAGUUUAUACCGUAGCUUGCUACACCAUAAACUGUGAGUUGCGAACGGGUGAGUAACGCGUAGGUAACCUGCCUGGUAGCGGGGGAUAACUAUUGGAAACGAUAGCUAAUACCGCAUAAUAUUGAUUAUUGCAUGAUAAUUGAUUGAAAGAUGCUAUUGCAUCACUACCAGAUGGACCUGCGUUGUAUUAGCUAGUAGGUGAGGUAACGGCUCACCUAGGCGACGAUACAUAGCCGACCUGGGAGGGUGGUCGGCCACACUGGGACGGAGACACGGCCCAGACUCCUACCGGAGGCAGCAGUAGGGAAUCUUCGGCAAUGGACGAAAGUCUGACCGAGCAACGCCGCGGGAGUGAAGAAGGUUUUCGGAUCGUAAAGCUCUGUUGUAAGAGAAGAACGGGUGUGAGAGUGGAAAGUUCACACUGUGACGGUAUCUUACCAGAAAGGGACGGCUAACUACGUG